rnacentral:misc_RNA from 1 species
GAGGUGACAUUUGACUACAAUUUUGUCCGAAUCUUUGGGGCUGCAGUAAAAAAGUGUGUCUGUGGUUCACCUAAUUGUCGGGGUUAUAUAGGUGGUGACCCGCUGGAUGCGGAAGUGAUUGUUCAGGAGGAUUCAGAUGAUGAGUAUCCUGAGCCUGUCUUGCUGCCCAAGUAUGCCAAAAUGGAUCAAAAAGAAGACAACAUUACAUGUGCUACAAGUUCUAUUAAGUGUGCUAAAAUUAAAAUCCAACGGAAACGACCUAAUAAGAAAAACAC